CAAUCCAGCCACACCCACAGAACACCUGCAGCCCAAACCCCAAACACGGACAGAGCAAGAACCCAGCAGGAGCAGGGUCUCUGCGCUCGCUCUUUCAGUGUUGAUCCCUCAUCCUCACAAUGACCCAUGUUCCAGAACGGCCCGUCCUGAAGAAGCUGAGGCCAGUGUCCAGUGCGGUCUUUGUCAUCCUCUGCGUUUCGCUGCUGCUCUUGAUCUUCAGGGCAGACGGGAUGUUGCAGCUCCGGGUUCUGUCAUACAUCUUGCAGCCAUCCGUCCAGCCCGCUGUGCCUCACAACAAGACUUCAGGAGAUGCAGUUGUGAAAGGACCACCAGCCCAUCUGCUGAGAGUCAAUGGCUCAAAAACACUGCUGGUGUCUGCUUUUCUGGAGCAUCGAACGGCACAAAAGAAGGUCCUCGUUAUUUCUAUAAUGUUUCGGGAGGAGAAACUUGCCCUUCAGUGCAACCUCCGCUGUCAGGAGAAGCUUUACGUCUCCAAAGCUGUCAUAGAAAUCCACUGGGACCACUUUGGCUUUCCUUACGGGACAGCAGACAUCUUCUGUCCGCUCCCUUCAGGCUGUGAGACACCGACGCAUGUGGCCAUCACCUCAGCAGGAACCAACAACACAGAUGAAUCUGACCUUGUGUUUUUGGAGGUUGAGAAUCAAAGAACGCUGAACAUCUUUCCUUACAACUUCACCAGCUGUUUCUCCACCAUGUAUAACUACACCAACAUCCUGCAGCUGGUGCAGAGUUUGGAGAUGCUUCAGUUUCUGGGAGUGAACAGAGUCGUGGUCUACAAGACGAACUGCAGCGCCGAUGCACAACGCGUCCUGGACUACUACUCAGGCAAAGGUUUAGUGGAGGUGAUUCCUUGGUCUUUGUCGAAGUACCUGAAUGUGUCUCGAAAAGCUUUGCCUACAGAAGAUCCUGGUGACAUCCACUACUUCGGUCAGAUCCCUGCUCUCAAUGACUGCCUCUACAGAUACAUGUACCGGUCCAGAUACUUGGCCCUGCACGACCCUGAUGAGCUCAUCCUGCCCCUGUCAGUCUACAGCUGGUUGGAGCUGCUGCCUCUUCUGGAGAAGGACUACGGUGCCGACGGCUGUUACCAGUUUGAGAACAACUACUUCCCCAGUGAAUUUACGCUGCCCCCUCCCGCCCCCGUUACGCUACCGCCACUAGAGCAGUGGCAGAAUGUAACCGGGGUGAACAUCCUGACUCACCUGUACAGUGAACCUGUCAAGCCUAAACCUGCAUUUAACAACUUCAAGAUCAUCACCAACCCUCGUUCUGUGUUCGCUGUAACUGUUCACGGCGUGUUGAAGUCACAGAAGGUCUGCGCCUGGGUUGACAGGAAGAUGGCCCGAAUAUACCACGUUAGACCUCGAGGACAAAUUGAUGUGAAGCCGCAGCAGCUGAUUUAUGACGGCAGACUGCUGAGCUACAGCAGCCGCCUCACGUCUGCCGUCAAUGCUGUUCUCAGAGAGACUGGACUCCUCCCUGAAGACGGCAUGAACUAGACUCUGUUUCCACCUCAGAGACACUUUGCUUUGUGAGAAAGGAGGAGCUUGAAUCAAUUCAUAGAGACAGGAUGUUUAUUUUUUUACAGUGUUGGAAAGAGGCUUUAUCAUAAAGACACAAUAGUGGAUAGUCUCUGUUUAUGGUUCAGGACGUUCUGAGGACGUUGAUCAAGAUUACUAAACUGAGAAAGAGAUGUCUGAGGCUGAUAUGACAGAUGACCUAAGACACAGGGGUAAAGGUCCUGCAGCUUUUAGACGUCUCUGGUCCAGCACACCUGAAUCAAAUGGCUGAAUUACCUCCUCAGCUGGCAGUCAAGUUACCCAGAGUCCUGCUGAUGACCUGAUUAUGUGACUCAGCACCAGUCCUCUAGACGCACCAAUGUUGGGGACAGCCGGAUCACUUUUUCCACCCACCGACUAAAGAGGACAUGAAGACGUGCCAUCACCCCACUGUGCUUUGACACAUUAAAUACA